rnacentral:misc_RNA from 1 species
UCUCCGUUGGUGAACCAGCGGAGGGAUCAUUACCGUGUUAUCAACUCCCAAACCCCUGUGAACAUACCCAACGUUGCUUCGGCGGGACCGCCCCGGCGCCCUCGGCGUCCCGGAACCAGGCGCCCGCCGGAGGACCCAAACUCUUGUUUAAACCAUAGUGGCAUAUUCUGAGUCUCACAAGAAGAAUGAAUCAAAACUUUCAACAACGGAUCUCUUGGCUCUG